GACGAACGCUGGCGGCGUGCUUAACACAUGCAAGUCGAACGGAAACGCCCUGCUUUUGUGGGGUGCUCGAGUGGCGAACGGGUGAGUAACACGUGAGUAACCUGCCCUUGACUUUGGGAUAACUUCAGGAAACUGGGGCUAAUACCGGAUAGGAGCUCCUGCUGCAUGGUGGGGGUUGGAAAGUUUCGGCGGUUGGGGAUGGACUCGCGGCUUAUCAGCUUGUUGGUGGGGUAGUGGCUUACCAAGGCUUUGACGGGUAGCCGGCCUGAGAGGGUGACCGGCCACAUUGGGACUGAGAUACGGCCCAGACUCCUACGGGAGGCAGCAGUGGGGAAUAUUGCACAAUGGGCGGAAGCCUGAUGCAGCAACGCCGCGUGCGGGAUGACGGCCUUCGGGUUGUAAACCGCUUUCGCCUGUGACGAAGCGUGAGUGACGGUAAUGGGUAAAGAAGCACCGGCUAACUACGUG
rnacentral:rRNA from 1 species